UACGUAGGGGGCGAGCGUUGUCCGGAUUUAUUGGGCGUAAAGCGCGCGCAGGCGGCUUCUUAAGUCUGAUGUGAAAGCCCGUGGCUCAACCACGGAGGGUCAUUGGAAACUGGGGAGCUUGAGUGCAGAAGAGGAGAGUGGAAUUCCACGUGUAGCGGUGAAAUGCGUAGAUAUGUGGAGGAACACCAGUGGCGAAAGCGGCUCUCUGGUCUGUAACUGACGCUGAGGCGCGAAAGCGUGGGGAGCAAACAGG
rnacentral:rRNA from 1 species